rnacentral:rRNA from 1 species
CAUUAUUGUAUUAAUGGAGGUACGAAGGCUGUCGCUGACUAUUCAAGUUGUGCGCGCCUGAGUGCCUCUUAUUACACCCAAUUUCACCCCCUUGGUGCAUCACCGCGGGGGUCCUCUUCCUUUUGGCUUAUUCUGAAAGGGGGCGGCUUGCGUUUUAACAUAGACACCCCUUUGAAUUCAGUAUAGAAUGUCUUUAACAUGUGAUUAUACAACUUUCAACAACGGAUCUCUUGGCUCUCGCAUCGAUGAAGAACGCAGCGAAAUGCGAUACGUAAUGUGAAUUGCAGAAUUCAGUGAAUCAUCGAAUCUUUGAACGCAUCUUGCACCCCUUGGCAUUCCGAGGGGUACACCCGUUUGAGUGUCGUGAUAUCCUCAACCUUCUUGGUUUCUUGAUCAAGAAGGCUUGGAAUUUGGAGGCUUUUGCUGGCUUCCUUCAAAGCCAGCUCCUCUUAAAUGAAUUAGUAGGGUCCACUUUGCUGAUCCUUGACGUGAUAAAAUACUUUCUACGUCUUGGGUUUUUGCAAACCUGCUUCUAACCGUCUCGUCAGAGACUGAACUCAUAUUUUAAACCCUUGACCUC